UGUAUAGAACACAUAGGAUGGAAUAUAUGUAUUGCGUUCGCUUAGUUUAUAAUUAUGAUAGCAUGAUUAGCCUUCGCUUAGUCGGUUAGCUGUGCUGGAUUAGAGGCUAGAGUAGUUUAUUUAUGAGACUCUUGUACUUUAACUGCCUUACUGCUGCUCUGAUUUGGCUCAAUAUUUAAUCUGUUGUGUGCUUACGAUUGGGUAUACGCUUAGUUGCCUAAUUGAUGUUUAAUCUUCGCUUAGUUGAUUAGACAGUAUGGUGCAUGACUGAUUAGAUUUGAGCAUUGCAUUCACUUAGUUUGCAAUUUUGAAGACCGAAUUAGCCUUCGCUUAGUUGGGUGAUUCGUGUUGGAUUUGGAUAAGAGUAGUGUGUACUUGUCGUUAAUCUGUGAUUGGAAGCAUAGUAAUUGAGUUAAUGACCAACCGUUUUCAUUCUGCAUUUAAUUCCAUUUUUACAUCUGUGUUUGCAAUUCCGUUUUUACAUUUCUGUUGCAUCCGUGUUUUAAUUUAGUUAUCCACAUUCACAAUCCUUUCACAAACCCCCCACUACGUGUUAGACCUAAUUCCUGAACC
rnacentral:lncRNA from 1 species